rnacentral:rRNA from 1 species
CGCAGGCUGAAACUCGCCUGCGUGAAGUUGGAAUUGCUAGUAAUCGCGGAUCAGCAUGCCGCGGUGAAUACGUUCCCGGGCCUUGUACACACCGCCCGUCACACCAUGGGAGCCGGUAAUACCCGAAGCCAGUAGUCUAACCGCAAGGGGGGACGCUGUCGAAGGUAGGAUUGGCGACUGGGGUGAAGUCGUAACAAGGUAAC